AUCCUUGAUCAAUGUUGUAAGUUGUUCUCAGGUCAUUUCUUGAAUACUCGAUAUACUGUGCUUAACUUGAAAUUGAUGAAAGCGCGGAGACAAAAGAUGGACAAAAUGCGAAUCUGUUUUACUUGCAAUAAUUUCAAUGUGAAAACACAUAAUCUUUUUGGAAAUUUAUCACAAAUUGAUAAGUAGUUAUGGAAACCCUUUCAAUGUGAAAACACAUAAUCUUUUUGGAAAUUUAUCACAAAUUGAUAAGUAGUUAUGGAAACCCUCCACUUGUUCUUCUUCUUGAAAUCUAUCAACAUAUCUUCUUGUAUCAAAAUAUGUAGAUUCUUCAGAAAGGUUAUUUUAGUGAAAUUCUGAGUGAUUAGUGGCA
rnacentral:misc_RNA from 1 species